GGGCCCGCACAAGCGGAGGAACAUGUGGUUUAAUUCGAUGAUACGCGAGGAACCUUACCCGGGCUUGAAUUGCAUCUGAAUAUGCCGGAAACGGUAUAGCUAGCAAUAGCAGAUGUGAAGGUGCUGCAUGGUUGUCGUCAGCUCGUGCCGUGAGGUGUCGGCUUAAGUGCCAUAACGAGCGCAACCCUCAUCAUUAGUUACUAACAGGUCAAGCUGAGGACUCUAAUGAGACUGCCGGCGUAAGCUGUGAGGAAGGUGGGGAUGACGUCAAAUCAGCACGGCCCUUACGUCCGGGGCGACACACGUGUUACAAUGGGGGGGACAGCAGGCUGCGAAGUGGUGACACCGAGCGAAUCCUCAAACCCUCUCUCAGUUCGGAUCGAAGUCUGCAACCCGACUUCGUGAAGCUGGAUUCGCUAGUAAUCGCGCAUCAGCCAUGGCGCGGUGAAUACGUUCCCGGGCCUU
rnacentral:rRNA from 1 species